rnacentral:rRNA from 1 species
GACGAACGCUGGCGGCGUGCUUAACACAUGCAAGUCGAACGCUGAAGCCCAGCUUUUGUUGGGUGGAUGAGUGGCGAACGGGUGAGUAACACGUGAGUAACCUGCCCCCUUCUUUGGGAUAACGCCCGGAAACGGGUGCUAAUACCGGAUAUUCACUGGUCUUCGCAUGGGGGUUGGUGGAAAGGGUUUUUCUGGUGGGGGAUGGGCUCGCGGCCUAUCAGCUUGUUGGUGGGGUGAUGGCCUACCAAGGCUUUGACGGGUAGCCGGCCUGAGAGGGUGACCGGUCACAUUGGGACUGAGAUACGGCCCGGACUCCUACGGGAGGCAGUAGGGGGGAAUAUUGCACAAUGGGCGCAAGCCUGAUGCAGCGACGCCGCGUGAGGGAUGGAGGCCUUCGGGUUGUGAACCUCUUUCGCUCAUGGUCAAGCCGCAACAAUGGUUGUGGUGAGGGUAGUGGGUAAAGAAGCGCCGGCUAACUACGUG